rnacentral:rRNA from 1 species
AACGAACGCUGGCGGUAUGCUUAACACAUGCAAGUCGAACGAACAAAAUUGGGGCUUGCUCCAAUUUUAGUGAGUGGCAAACGGGUGAGUAACACGUGGGAAUCUACCUAUCAGUACGGAAUAACAUUUGGAGACAGAUGCUAAUACCGUAUAUUCUCCAAGGAGGAAAGAUUUAUCGCUGAUAGAUGAGCCCGCGCAAGAUUAGGUAGUUGGUAGGGUAAUGGCCUACCAAGCCGACGAUCUUUAGCUGGUCUGAGAGGAUGAUCAGCCACACUGGGACUGAGACACGGCCCAGACUCCUACGGGAGGCAGCAGUGGGGAAUAUUGGACAAUGGGCGAAAGCCUGAUCCAGCAAUACCGCGUGAAUGAUGAAGGCCUUAGGGUUGUAAAGUUCUUUUAGUUGGAAAGGUAACGACGGUACCAACAGAAAAAGCCCCGGCUAACUCCGUGCCAGCCGCCGCCGUAA